rnacentral:pre_miRNA from 1 species
CCCUUCAUCUGCAUUUGCACCUGCACCUUAUUCAACUUCUCUCUUCUCUCUCCACCAACGAUAUAGAAGAACAUGAGUAUGAAGAACAAAAGGUGAGAGAAAAAAAGGAUCAAUAAUUCAAAGGUGCUGGUGCAUUUGCAGCUGAAUGCCAUCUUGGAAA